rnacentral:rRNA from 1 species
CCUACGGGGGGCUGCAGUGGGGAAUAUUGCACAAUGGGCGCAAGCCUGAUGCAGCCAUGCCGCGAGUGUGAAGAAGGCCUUCGGGUUGUAAAGCACUUUCAGCGGGGAGGAAGGCGGUGAGGUUAAUAACCUCAUCGAUUGACGUUACCCGCAGAAGAAGCACCGGCUAACUCCGUGCCAGCAGCCGCGGUAAUACGGAGGGUGCAAGCGUUAAUCGGAAUUACUGGGCGUAAAGCGCACGCAGGCGGUCUGUCAAGUCGGAUGUGAAAUCCCCGGGCUCAACCUGGGAACUGCAUUCGAAACUGGCAGGCUAGAGUCUUGUAGAGGGGGGUAGAAUUCCAGGUGUAGCGGUGAAAUGCGUAGAGAUCUGGAGGAAUACCGGUGGCGAAGGCGGCCCCCUGGACAAAGACUGACGCUCAGGUGCGAAAGCGUGGGGAGCAAACAGGAUUAGAUACCCGGGUAGUC